CCCAGUCAGAUAUAGAGGAGUUAUUUACCCAGUCAGAUAUAGAGGAGUUAUUUACCCAGUCAGAUAUAGAGGAGUUAUUUACCCAGUCAGAUAUAGAGGAGUUAUUUACCCAGUCAGAUAUAGAGGAGUUAUUUACCCAGUCAGAUAUAGAGGAGUUAUUUACCCAGUCAGAUAUAGAGGAGGUAUUUAACCAGUCAGAUAUAGAGCAGUUAUUUACCCAAUCAGAUAUAGAGGAGUUAUUUACCCAGUCAGAUAUAGAGGAGGUAUUCACCCAGUCAGAUAUA